AAAAAUUUAAAUGAUUUCAUAGAUACCCUCCAUUUUAAAAUGAAAGACAUUAAAUUUGCCAAACAUUUAAUAUCAAUGGGUUGUUUCAUGUGCUCCGUUGAUCUAAAGGAUGCGUAUUACUUGGUUCCCAUUCACAAAUCAUUUAAAAAAUUUCUACGAUUUAAAUUCCAGGGACAAAUGUUCCAAUUUAUGUGUUUACCAUUUGGGCUAUGUACAAGCCCCUUUGUAUACACAAAGAUUAUGAAACCAGUAAUAAAUAAAAUUCGAGAGUCUAGAAUUCUGUCAGUCAUAUAUAUUGAUGACUUAUUAUUGAUCAGUAAAUCGUAUGAAUCUUGUAGAAAUAAUUUGAAUUACGUAACGGAUCUGCUGGAGUGCCUGGGAUUUAUUAUUAAUUAUCAAAAAAGCUCUCUAGAACCUAGUCAAAGAUGCAAAUACCUUGGCUUCAUAAUUAACUCAACUGACUUCACAUUAGAACUAACAAAUAAUAAGAAAAAACAAAUAACUUCACUAGUAAAAACCUUCAAACAAGACAGAUACUUUAAAAUUAGAGACUUCGCCAAACUGCUCGGGACUUUAACUGCAGUUUGCUCAGCUGUGGUAUACGGUUCAAUUUAUUGUAAAAGACUUGAAAGACAAAAAUAUCUUGCAUUAAUACUAAAUGAUAACGAUUACGAAGGGAAAAUUCACAUGAAUAAAUCAAUGAUAGAUGAGCUACGUUGGUGGGAAAGAAUCGUCCCAACAGGCUCCAACCCGAUAAGAACUCAAAAAUUUGAGUUAGAAAUAUCCUCAGAUGCAUCUUUGACUGGCUGGGGUACACACUGCAAUGGUAAAAGCGCGGAGGGCUUUUGGACGAAGGAGGAAAGAAAACAUAGCAUCAAUUACCUAGAACUUCUAGCAGCCUACUUUGGCUUAAAAUGUUUCGCAGGAAAGGUGGUUGAAAGUGAAAUAUUACUGAGAAUAGACAAUACGUCUGCUAUAUCGUACAUUAACAGAACAGGCGGUAUUCAAUAUCCGCAUCUAAAUGAACUAACGAGAAAAAUCUGGCAAUGGUGCAAAAGAAGAAAAAUCUGGAUUCAUGCUUCUUACAUACCAUCAGUACAGAACAAAGAAGCUGAUAGAGCAUCACGAAUAACUAACAUAGACACUGAGUGGGAGCUGUGUAGUAGUGCAUUUGAGAAUAUAAAUACAGAAUUUGGUCCCUUUACAAUUGACCUAUUUGCAUCAAGAUUAAACAAAAAAUGCUCGAGAUUCUGUUCAGGAUUCCCAGACCCAGAAGCUAUGUCAGUAGAUGCUUUCACCAUCUCAUGGACAAAUGAAAAAAUAUAUGCUUUUCAGCCUUUCGCACUUGCCCUUAGAACUUUAAGAAAGAUAAUUCUCGAUAAAGCAGAGGGGACGGUUGUUCUCCCACUCUGGCCAACACAACCGUGGUACCCUCUUUUUACAUCACUGCUCACAUCGCCACCUAUCAUUUUCAAACCUAAUAAAGACUUAUUAAUAUCCCCGUCUAGGAAAGAAACACACCCACUAGCGCUGAAGCUUUCACUAGUGGCAGGGAACUUAUCCGGAAAGCUUUCAGAUGUAGGGGAAUAGAUAAUGCAUCAACAGAAAUUAUGGUUAAUUCUAUAGCCGCAUCAACGUUAAAGCAGUAUCAGGGCCCUUUAAAGCUAUGGUGGGACUUUUGUGUAGAAAACAAAAUAUCAAUGUUUGAGGCCAACACUUCAGAUAUUUUACGGUUCCUAACGGGUAGAUUUGACAAGGGUGCAAGCUACGGAACGUUAAACUCCACUCGGUCAGCUAUUUCUCUCAUCUCCUCACGAGAUAUAGCGAAGGACAAAUUAAUCUCGAGAUUCUUUAAGGGAGUACAUAGGGAAAGGUCCCCAAAACCUAAAUAUUCAAGUACUUGGGCUACAGCAACAGUUCUGCAUUACAUUGAGCAGCUGCCUCCACUUAACCAACUAAAACUAAAAGAAGCAGCUGAGAAAGUUGCUACAUUACUAAUAUUAACAACAGCACAUAGACUUCAAACAAUUACAUUAAUUAACAUUAAGAACAUAUUCACUAAGAAAUCUGGAAUCUCGAUCAAGAUUCCUGACCUGAUAAAGACAUCUAAGCCCGGUAAAAAUCAGCCGAAACUUAUCUUACCGUUUUUCAAAGAAAAACCCAGCAUCUGUGUAGCUUCGGCAGUAUUAAGCUACAUAAAAAUAAAGGAAAAAUUCAGGAAUGGAGAAAACAACAGAUUAUUCAUAUCAUCCAACAAACCCUAUACGAACGUAUUCGCUCAAACAGUAAGCCACUGGAUAAAAUCCUUACUAUCAAAAGCAGGAAUUGACACAGAUCAAUUUACUGCUUACAGCACAAAGCACGCAAUACAAUUAGAAGGACAGCAGGCUGGUCUCAAAACUCCAAGGCCUUUGCCAAAUUCUACAAUCGACCAAUCCAGGACAAUGACACCUUUGCUAUAUCAGUUCUAAAUGUAUAACAGUUAUGAAAAAAAAAAAAAAAAA